GAUGAACGCUGGCGGCGUGCCUAAUACAUGCAAGUCGAGCGAAUGGAUUAAGAGCUUGCUCUUAUGAAGUUAGCGGCGGACGGGUAAGUAACACGUGGGUAACCUGCCCAUAAGACUGGGAUAACUCCGGGAAACCGGGGCUAAUACCGGAUAAUAUUUUGAACUGCAUGGUUCAAAAUUGAAUGGCGGCUUCGGCUGUAACUUAUGGAUGGACCCGCGUCGCAUUAGCUAGUUGGUGAGGUAACGGCUCACCAAGGCAACGAUGCGUAGCCGACCUGAGAGGGUGAUCGGCCACACUGGGACUGAGACACGGCCCAGACUCCUACGGGAGGCAGCAGUAGGGAAUCUUCCGCAAUGGACGAAAGUCUGACGGAGCAACGCCGCGUGAGUGAUGAAGGCUUUCGGGUCGUAAAACUCUGUUGUUAGGGAAGAACAAGUGCUAGUUGAAUAAGCUGGCACCUUGACGGUACCUAACCAGAAAGCCACGGCUAACUACGUGCCAGCCGCCGCGGUAAAAC
rnacentral:rRNA from 1 species